AUCUACGACCACAGAACGAGGAAAUCAGGGUAUCCCGUCCGCUCUGCCUUACUUAAGCCUCGUAUCGAUCAUGUAGUAGCGUAGUGGGUGACCAUACGCGAAUGAUGAUUGUUGUAGAUG
rnacentral:rRNA from 1 species